rnacentral:rRNA from 1 species
UAUAAGUGCUUCAGUUUUUAGACUGUUCCUAGCCAAUCUUGGAACCUAAGCAGGGUUGGGCUUGAUUGGCACUUGGAUGGGAGACCACCAGAGAAUGCCAGAUACUUUAUAG